rnacentral:rRNA from 1 species
AGUGAACGCUGGCGGUAGGCCUAACACAUGCAAGUCGAACGGCAGCACAGUAAGAGCUUGCUCUUACGGGUGGCGAGUGGCGGACGGGUGAGGAAUACAUCGGAAUCUACUUUUUCGUGGGGGAUAACGUAGGGAAACUUACGCUAAUACCGCAUACGACCUACGGGUGAAAGCAGGGGAUCUUCGGACCUUGCGCGAUUGAAUGAGCCGAUGUCGGAUUAGCUAGUUGGCGGGGUAAAGGCCCACCAAGGCGACGAUCCGUAGCUGGUCUGAGAGGAUGAUCAGCCACACGGGAAGUGAGACACGGUCCAUACUCCUACGGGAGGCAGCAGUGGGGAAUAUUGGACAAUAGGCGCAAGCCUGAUCCAGCCAUACCGCGUGGGUGAAGAAGGCCUUCGGGUUGUAAAGCCCUUUUGUUGGGAAAGAAAAGCAGCAGGUUAAUACCCAGCUGUUCUGACGGUACCCAAAGAAUAAGCACCGGCUAACUUCGUG